rnacentral:rRNA from 1 species
CCUACGGGUGGCAGCAGUGAGGAAUAUUGGUCAAUGGGCGGGAGCCUGAACCAGCCAAGUAGCGUGAAGGAUGACAGCCCUAUGGGUUGUAAACUUCUUUUAUAAGGGAAUAAAGUGCGGCACGUGUGCCGUUUUGUGUGUACUUUAUGAAUAAGCAUCGGCUAACUCCGUGCCAGCAGCCGCGGUAAUACGGAGGAUGCGAGCGUUAUCCGGAUUUAUUGGGUUUAAAGGGAGCGUAGGCGGUUUCUUAAGUCAGCGGUAAAAUCGUGCGGCUCAACCGUACCGUGCCGUUGAAACUGGGAGACUUGAGUACGCGUGAGGUACGCGGAAUUCGUGGUGUAGCGGUGAAAUGCUUAGAUAUCACGAAGAACUCCGAUUGCGAAGGCAGCGUACCGGAGCCAGACUGACGCUGAGGCUCGAAAGUGUGGGUAUCAAACAGGAUUAGAUACCCUUGUAGUC